CGUCCCCCGCACGCACCGUUCCCCACCCACGUCCCCACGUCCCGCACCCACUUCCAUCUCCUCGCCGACCCUUGCCGCCGCCACGCAGCCCUCGACUUCGCGCCGCCGCGGGUCGCUCGCGCCGGCCCCGCAGCUCGCGCCGCCGCGCAUCCCUCUCGUGCCGCUCUCGUCUCUCUCUUUCUCUCUCUCGUGCUCGCCGCCACCGCCGCGCCACUCUUCCUCCGCCCCCGCCUCCCCCGCCGCCCCGCGCGCCCCGUACCUUGAGGCGGAGAAGAAUCCCUCCCGCAGCAUCAAAUAGAUCGAGUCUGCGCGCCCCGUACCUUGAAUUGCUGGAGGAAGAGGACGGAGGAGGCGUGGGCUUGGAAGCCAUAGGAGAGGCGGAUCCCGCGGUCGAGGAGCCCAAUGGUGCCGUCGUCGCAACCCACCGCAACGCGGCCGCGGCCGCUCGAGCAGCAGGUGACGCGGCGGACGACCCUCCGCCCUCGCCCCUGCCUCCGCUUCCGCCGCCUCCACGCCACUCUUCCUGUUGCUGCCGCGCCCCUGUCUCCAAGUGUCAUCAGGAUUGUAGUAUCAAACCGUACAAGUUAUUCUUGUAAAAAUUUUUCUUUAUUGAUGAUGGAAUGGAUCAAAUAAAGCAGUGAGCAAUGUGCAAUGCUCUCAGGUUUAUCUGUCGCGGGAACAAACAGAUUUACUGUCAAGGUCCAAGAGAAUGCAACAAUGCAUUAAACUCCGGAGUGUAAAGGACAUCAGGGAUGGAUUCCGAGGGUACUGUUAUGAUCAAAGGUCUUUCAUUAUAUUUUUAACAGCUUUUCAUAGGUAUAAACAGGUAGUCAAACUAUUCUCAGUACUUUAAUUCACAAUUACAAAAUGAGUUGGUUCAAGCAUUCAAGUAGUUCUAUACCAUUUAGCUCUUCCUUUUUUAACCGCAGAAUAUUGGAAAGGAGAAGAAGAAAGAUAUCAGG